UACGGAGGGUGCGAGCGUUAAUCGGAAUUACUGGGCGUAAAGCGAGUGCAGGCGGUUGCGUGUGUCGGGUGUGAAAGCCCCGGGCUUAACCUGGGAAUUGCAUCCGAAACUGCGUAACUAGAAUAUGGUAGAGGAAGACGGAAUUCCACGUGUAGCGGUGAAAUGCGUAGAUAUGUGGAGGAACACCAAUGGCGAAGGCAGUCUUCUGGGCCAAUAUUGACGCUGAGGCUCGAAAGCGUGGGUAGCAAAC
rnacentral:rRNA from 1 species